AGUGAACGCUGGCGGUAGGCCUAACACAUGCAAGUCGAACGGCAGCACAGGAGAGCUUGCUCUCUGGGUGGCGAGUGGCGGACGGGUGAGGAAUACAUCGGAAUCUACCUUUUCGUGGGGGAUAACGUAGGGAAACUUACGCUAAUACCGCAUACGACCUACGGGUGAAAGUGGGGGACCGCAAGGCCUCACGCGAUUAGAUGAGCCGAUGUCCGAUUAGCUAGUUGGCGGGGUAAUGGCCCACCAAGGCGACGAGCGGUAGCUGGUCUGAGAGGAUGCUCAGCCGCACUGGAACUGAGAGACGGUCCAGACGCCUACGGGAGGCAGCAGUGGGGAAUAUUGGACAAUGGGCGCAAGCCUGAUCCAGCCAUACCGCGUGGGUGAAGAAGGCCUUCGGGUUGUAAAGCCCUUUUGUUGGGAAAGAAAUCCUGUCGAUUAAUACUCGGUGGGGAUGACGGUACCCAAAGAAUAAGCACCGGCUAACUUCGUGCCAGCCGCCGCGGUAAAAC
rnacentral:rRNA from 1 species